CCUACGGGGGGCAGCAGUAGGGAAUCUUCGGCAAUGGACGAAAGUCUGACCGAGCAACGCCGCGCGAGUGAAGAAGGUUUUCGGAUCGUAAAACUCUGUUGUUAGAGAAGAACAAGUAGGAGAGUAACUGCUCUUACCUUGACGGUAUCUAACCAGAAAGCCACGGCUAACUACGUGCCAGCAGCCGCGGUAAUACGUAGGUGGCAAGCGUUGUCCGGAUUUAUUGGGCGUAAAGCGAGCGCAGGCGGUCUUUUAAGUCUGAUGUGAAAGCCCUCGGCUCAACCGAGGAAGGUCAUUGGAAACUGGAGGACUUGAGUGCAGAAGAGGAGAGUGGAAUUCCAUGUGUAGCGGUGAAAUGCGUAGAUAUAUGGAGGAACACCAGUGGCGAAGGCGACUCUCUGGUCUGUAACUGACGCUCAGGUGCGAAAGCGUGGGGAGCAAACAGGAUUAGAUACCCUGGUAGUC
rnacentral:rRNA from 1 species